GGAGAGCGCGGCCGGAGAGCAGAGCUCCGGGACCCAGGUGACCGGGAAAGCAGGCAGCCCUAGUGUCGGGAGUAGCCGGCAACAGCCCAGGCCGGGGAACCAUACAGGGUGGGGGUGGGAGGGGGGGGUCUAGGGAGAACCUGAAGGGGACAGGGCAGAAGGGACCCCCGAAGCCCUGCCGCCAUCAGAGAUCAAGCAUUUGGCAUCAGGGAUCUUCGGACCCAGCAGAAGGAUCAGCCACAGGGAGGUGUCUUCCCUAGGAAGCCAACGAGAGAGUCACCUGCCCCACAUCAGGAGCAGGGACCCCCUCAUGACGCUGCUGGCAACCAUAGCAGUCCCCUAGCCCCUCAGCCUCUUUCCUAUCGCCCUCUUCUGACUUUACCCCAUCUCCUUUGGCAUCUGUGCCUUUGCUCCCGCCCUCUGAGCUCCACCGUUCCAGCUACCACCCAAACGCCCCAGGGUUUGGUCACCCUGACCCUCAGCCUGGGAUAUUUGCCAGAUCUCUGGGAGGGAGAUCCUUUGCUUGGGCUAUGCCCCUGGUGGCCUGACACUGUCUGCCUAGACCCCUGACCCCUAGCCCUCAACUCCCCAGGCCUCCUUUGUGUGAAGAGCCCUCCUCUGCUCAGCAGUGUGGUUGGGGGCCAAAGGAAAAGCUGGCCCUGCUGGGCCCCUGGGCCCUACCACCUGCCUCCUGGUUGGGCAGCUUCCCUUGUCUUUGGUCCUCUCCCUGCUCCCCCACCCCCGGCCCCUCCUCCUGGGCCGCCCCAAUGAAGGAGCCAGAUGCCAUCAAGCUGUUUGUGGGGCAGAUCCCGAGGCAUCUGGAGGAAAAGGACCUGAAGCCCAUCUUCGAGCAGUUUGGUCGGAUCUUCGAGCUGACUGUCAUCAAGGACAAGAUGUGCUUUCCUGACGUACUGUGCUCGCGAUUCAGCCCUGAAGGCCCAGAGUGCCCUGCACGAACAGAAGACUCUCCCAGGGAUGAACAGGCCGAUCCAGGUCAAGCCAGCCGACAGCGAGAGUCGAGGAGAAGACCGGAAGCUCUUUGUGGGCAUGCUAGGAAAGCAGCAGACAGAUGAGGAUGUCCGGAAGAUGUUUGAACCAUUUGGGACUAUAGACGAGUGCACUGUGCUCCGGGGGCCAGACGGUACCAGCAAAGGCUGUGCCUUUGUGAAGUUCCAGACUCACGCUGAGGCCCAGGCAGCCAUCAACACCCUUCACAGCAGCCGGACCCUACCGGGUGCCUCAUCCAGCCUGGUGGUAAAGUUUGCUGACACGGAGAAGGAGCGAGGUCUCCGUCGAAUGCAGCAGGUGGCUACCCAGCUGGGCAUGUUCAGCCCGAUCGCCCUCCAGUUUGGAGCCUACAGCGCCUACACCCAGGCCCUGAUGCAGCAGCAGGCGGCCCUGGUAGCAGCUCACAGUGCCUACCUCAGCCCUAUGGCCACCAUGGCUGCCGUGCAGAUGCAGCACAUGGCUGCCAUCAGUGCCAAUGGCCUCAUCGCCACCCCCAUCACUCCAUCCUCAGGAACCAGCACCCCUCCUGCCAUUGCUGCCACGCCCGUCUCUGCCAUCCCUGCUGCCUUGGGCGUCAACGGCUACAGCCCGGUGCCCACCCAGCCUACAGGGCAGCCUGCCCCGGAUGCUCUGUAUCCCAACGGGGUUCACCCUUACCCAGCCCAGAGCCCGGCAGCCCCCGUGGACCCUCUCCAGCAGGCCUAUGCAGGAAUGCAGCACUACACAGCAGCGUACCCCGCAGCCUACAGCCUGGUUGCACCUGCGUUCCCGCAGCCUCCAGCCCUGGUUGCCCAGCAGCCCCCACCACCACCUCAGCAACAGCAGCAGCAGCAGCAGCAGCAACAGCAACAGCAGCAGCAACGGGAAGGUGCCAGCCUAGGGCAGGGUCCUGAUAGCUGAGAACCUGCAGGGAUAAGAACGCCCAUGUGUGGGCUUGGGUACUCCCGAUGGCUCUUUCCCAGGCUCUGGGCUUGUGUGUGAGGACUGAAGGAGUGGGGAGCCCUGGCCCACACUGCUGGGGCCAGGACUGGUGGCCGCUGUCACCCUCAUCUCUGCCAAUGCAGUCUGCACUUCCCAGUCUCUGAGCUACCCCUUCUGUCUCUGCUGCCACCCAGGCCCUGAUGGCUGCAACAUCUUCAUCUACCACCUGCCCCAGGAGUUCACAGACUCAGAGAUCCUCCAGAUGUUUGUCCCUUUUGGUCAUGUCAUCUCAGCCAAAGUCUUUGUUGACCGGGCCACCAAUCAGAGCAAAUGUUUUGGCUUUGUGAGUUUCGACAAUCCGGCCAGUGCCCAGGCUGCCAUCCAGGCUAUGAACGGUUUCCAGAUUGGCAUGAAGCGCCUCAAAGUCCAGCUAAAGCGGCCUAAGGAUGCAAACAGGCCCUACUAAGGGCUUCAGGUCUGGAGAUACCAGAGGAAGGGGCACUUCAGUAUACCCUCUUCCUAUGACUGGCCCUGGCCUUCUCUGCACAUCUGCCCCAGGCCUUGAUUGGACUCUGGGGCAAGAGCUGCUUCAUGGUCCGAGGGCCCAGGACCUGGCUCACUCCCACCAUCUUGCCUCUCUGAAGGGCCAUGGUUUUGCUUCCCUGGCUUCAAGAGCCUAUUUCCUCCCCAGUGCCCUUUUGGCCUUUGUGAGGAAGCAAGGAAUAGGCUUGAAGGUUCAGGGGCAUCUGCCUUCUGCUAAGGCUCCUGGAUGAGCCUCUGUGCCCACUGCUGGCCCUUGCCUCCCCUCAGUGGCCUGCAGUAGCUGUGCAGGCUCGGAAGGGCAGCAGGACACUCUCCUCUUUCCCAAGCACCCUCCCCCUUGCCUCUCCCCACGGCAGGGCCUUCUCAGAAGCCCUGCCUUCUCAGAAGCUGGCUCCCACGUUUCUCCCCACCCUCAGCUAGAGGUAGGAGAUCUCCAAACCCCGGGCUCUCAGCCCUAAAACUCACUGCCUUCCCCAAGAGCCCCCUCCAAGGAGGGUGUGUGUGUGGGGGGGGGGGGGCCUGAGGGCUGCCUCUCUGCCAGUCAGUCACAGAGACCCUCCUUUCAUGAGGAAAAGACCUCUCCCUGAGUCCCUAAAUAUGUUUACAGUCUCUGCUGGCCCCUCCAUGUAAAUACCAUGACCACCAGGGCUUUAAUCAGCCCACCCAGCCAGACGCUGCCAUCUCUCUUUCUGGGAGUUUAGACAAUGCUGCCCUUGGAUUUUGUUUUUUUCUUUUUUUCCUCUCUUGAUUUCUCCCUUUGCUUUGGGGGUAAUUGGGUAUUUGGGGGAAGGGUAUGGGGAGGGCUAAAGGGGUUUAUUACCUGAUCAUUUUCUUUAGGAAGAGGUUCUAGGGAAAAAAACAUGGGGUGGGGUGGGGAGGGUAAAGGAUAAGAAGGGGGAAUCAAUUUCUGACAGUUCUCUACUCUUAUUUAUUGAGUUUUACUUUUAAAGAGUUGGUCUUUUCUGUCUAAAUAAAGAAAAAACAUUUGAAAGCAUCAACCAUGAGUCGUAGAAGGUUGAGAGUAGGGUGCUCACACUGGGGAAGGGGGAGGGAGGGAGAGACUAUAGUUUGGCAAAACUUUCGUGGAAGGCCAAGUCUUCUCUGUGUUCAGAUCUUGCCCAUAACUUCAUGAUCCUACCUGCUCAUCUUUGGGGCUUAAUUCUAGAAUGUUCUUCCACAUCAAGCCCAGGGGAAAGGAUAUGCAGGUGAGUGCAGAGGCAAGCACUGGUCAGGAGGCCUCUCCCUGUGUCCAGCCACACCCCUCUAAGGCUGGGGUCUUGUAGUUUCAGGGACACUGGGAGCUGGCUUUAAUACUACUGCUGUCCUUACUCUCCACAACCCUGUGGGGCAGGAUAUAAUUUUGUAGGCAGGGAAUUGGAUAUUUUGAAGGCUAACUCCUUUUCCCAGGGUCACAAUGACAGAAAAGAGAAAAACACGGAAGCUGAACAUUUGUCUAACUCCAGAGUAUCAAACAGGCCGUUGUAGUGAUCCAUCCAGCAGAAGGUCUGAAAGUCAAUUUCUUUCCUAAGAACUGCUGUUGGCCCACAGCGAUCAUGUGGUAUAGCACCACCCACCUGCUUGUAGGUAGCUCCUCUCCACCAAGCCUUAGAAACUUGCCCCCUCCAGUUAUGAUCUGGCCUCUGGUCAGAGUUGUUCAGUGAAAAUAGGACUGCAGCCUGGGGAUGUAGCUCAGUGGCAAAACACUUGGCAAGGGUGUAUAUGACUCUCUCUACACCAAUACAGAAAAAUGAGAAAGAAAUCAAGGAAGUAAGAAGAGGAAGGAAAGGGGUAAAUAAAAGGGCAAAAGAGAACCUGCAGCCAUGGGUCAAACCUCACAGCUCACCCCACUGCCCCUCACUCUUCUCUUCUUAGCACAGCCUCUAAUAGUUCACAGGAAGUCAGAGCAUGGCAGCACAUGGCUGCAAUUCCAGCACUUGGGGGAUUGAGGCAAAGGGUUCAGGAGUUUGAGGCCAGCCUGGGACAGACAGAAAUCAGGCAGGCAGGCACACAAGAAACACUAUAUGGAGAUUCUCUUUUUGCGUGUGGCUUUGGGGAGAAACAAAUAUUAAUGUGGUAAGGGUCAGGAAUGGGGUGAAGUCCGUACUCCUCGCUGUUCUUAUGAAAAGUGGCUUGUUUAUAGCUCUAGAGCAGAGUCUGUAUCUUUCUUCAUUCAGUGUGGGUCCAUGGGAUGGUGCCAGCCAUUUAGGGAGCCCAUCUCAGCUCAACUUCUCUGGACAUGCUCUCCAUCCAGUCAAGCUGUAACCUUGGAACAACAAUGAAGCUUAAAAGCCUGACAGUAAGGCUCCAGGCAGGAUGUUUAGCCAGUAACAAAGAGCCUGAAAUCUUAGUGACAAGUUGUGUGUGCAUGCAUUUGGCAGCACAACGAGAAGCAGCAAGUGUAAGGCCAAUAGCAGCUGGUGGUUAGUGUUUGUAAACUUUCCCCAGAGCUAUUUCAACAGUUUGUAGGUCAGAACAAAUAUGGUGAGUUUUAGCUCAAAAAGACUCUCCCAGAAUGACUGUGCCUCCUAACUCCUGGUGUCUUUGGGCUCUUAUGCAGAUGUGGUAACUCCUCAGGGACUGCCUCUAUUGUAUGCUCCUUAUAACUUGCUGAGGGAAAAAGAGUGUCAUGUUAAUGGAAGAGACAGGACCAAACCCAAGGGAACCUACAGCUGACGAGACCGCGGCAGGGAAGACCCUGGACGGGUUCAAUACUCUUCCUUUUCUGUAUUUUUAGUGCUGGGAAAUACACAUAACACUGUGAGGAUGUGUGGAUCCAUACCACUCACUUCUUUGAGUAUCUGUGAUCCAAGAAUCCCUUCAUGGCCAAGCUUCAAUGAUCUCUAAAUAUGAGCAUUUGGACAGCCCUGGUUCUUAGGACAUUCUGGUUCUUAGGAAAGCUUUCUCACUUUUCACCCUCUGUUUUAUUACUUAUUAAUUUAUUUAGGUUUUUCUAGACAGGGUUUCUCUGCAUAGUUCUAGCAGUUCAGGGACUCUCUAUAGACUAGGCUGGCCUCAAACUCAGAUCCACCUGUCUCUGGAGUGUUUGGGAUUAAAGGCGUGCACAACCACCACCGGUCUCAGCCUCAUUUAAUGUGCACACACACAUGCAUGUGUGGCAAUGAGCAUGUCCGGCACGUGCGGUGGCAGUUGGAGGACAAUUUCUGGAAUGGACUUGAACUCCCGUUCUUCCUGUCCCCACUUCCCAUGUUCUGGGAUGGCAGCUGUGCACCUACACAGGGUUCACUGUACUUCUCCCAGAGUCAGCUUCCUCUUGCCAAAUGCAAGAUCUCCUCCCUCCGUGGACUGGGUCCUUUCAUCUGCUCAGGAAGAACAAGUUGCUACCUUUUCUCUUAGUUUUCCUAUUAGUAAACACUACCACAUAUACCCACUCACGGCCAAAUCUGAAUGACAACUGCCUUGUUCACUGCUAGUACUCUAAAUAGGUACUCAACACUAGGAGCUAGUUAGUAAACAAUGAUGAAAUGACCAGUGGGGCUGGAGAGAUGGUUUAUCAGUUAAAAGCGUUUACCAUGCUUGCAGAGGACACAACUCUAACUCUAGUACCAGAGGAUUCCAACUCAUAUAUAUGCACACACAUAAAAAAAAAAUCUCUAAAAAGAAAUGACUCCUGGAGCAGAAGGUGGCUCAGCAGUUAAAAGCACUGGCUGCUUCAAUUCCUACCACCACACAGCAGCUCAAUACUGUAACUCCAGUUCCAGGGGCUCCACUGCACUAGGCAUGCAUGUGGUGCACAUACCUGUGCAAGAAGGCAAAAAUACCCCCACGUUUUUUUAAAAAGUGACUCCUAGCUAUCUAUACUGGAUUUUCCACUGUGUGUAAAUCUGAGUAGUCGAAUACUAAAACAUGUUCCCUCCAAAGUCUUGGGGCUUUUUGCUUUUCUUUUUUGGUUAAGAUUUAUUUAUUUUUGAUAUUUCAAGACCAAGUUUCUCUGUGUAGCCCUGGCUGUCCUGGAACUAACUCUGCAGACCACCCUAACCUCAAACUUAAAGAUACCACUAUCUCUGCUCCCUACCUGUUGGGAUUAAAGGCUUGUGCCACCAUGGCCAGCUUUAAGAUGUUUAUGUGUGAGUGUCUACAUGUAUAUUUGGGGGCUGCAUAUUUAUUUGCCUGAUGCCCAAAGAAACCAGCAAGGAGGUUGGAUCCCCGGAGCUUGAGUUGGAGGUGCCUGUGAGCUGCUGUGUGGGUGGUGGGAACUGAACCUGGGUCCUCUGCAAGAUCGGACAGAGCUCCUAACCAAUAGGCAUCUCUCUAGGAUACUUUAUUUGGUUUUCUUUGAUUUUUGGCAUUUCGAGACAGGGUUUUUCUGUGUAGCCCUGGUUGUCCUGGAACUCUGUAGAUCAGGCUGGCUUGGACUCUACUUGCCUCUCUGCCUUCUAAGUACUGCCCUCUUCCACUUUAUUUUUUGAAAUAGAAUCCCAUGCAGCCCAGUCGGGCUUCAAACCUGCUACAUAGUCACACAUGAUCUUGGAUUCCUGGUUAUCCUACAAUUACAUCCUGAAUGCUGGCAUUAUAGCACAUCCACCUGGCCUGGCUCAACUCCUAAAAUAGUUUGAUUCUCUAGUCACACAGAGCUUGGGAGCCCUUCACCCAUUUCACGUAAAUUCGGUGUCGUUAAAUCACAAGAUUCUGUUUCUAUAAUUUCUCCUUAUGUCUAUUUCUUCUUUCAGUUAUUACUGUGUCUGCUUCUUAACAUAAUAAUUAUACCAGUCUCCUAAUUCAUUCCCUCUUCCACAUGCUGGAAGGAGAAUCAACUCCCACAAAUUGUUCUUUAACCUACGUUUACUGUGACACACAUAUUCGAACACACACACUAUAAAAACAAGGGACUGGGAGAAUCCUUACCUCCUCCUGCAUUCUUGAACAUGCCCUAUAUUCCGCUGACACAGAACUAUUCACUGUGCUCUGGACAAGUCUGGUUUUUUCUUACCCCACGCUUCUUCACUCUGCAUGCUGCAGUGGUCUUGUACAUAAUGGCCAAUACUGCUCGAUACCUGCUUGAUGAAAUCUUGCUCGUGUUAAAUCAUUUACAUUACAUAGCACUUUAAGAUUUCCCUUUAUCAUCUGUAAAUCUUACGAUUUAUUAUAUUUAAUGUAUAUGUGCGUGCAAUACAACUCACAUGUGUGCAGAGGAUAACUUGUGUGAAAUCAGUUUUCUCUUUCCACCAUGUGGGGCCUAGGAUUCUAACUCAGGUUGUCAGCCUUGGCAGCAAGCAUCUUUACCUACUGGACCAUCUUGCCCUUCCCCAUGCUUUUGAGAACAGGGUCUUAUGUGGCCCAGGCUGGCCCUGAACUUGCUAUGUAGCUGAAGCCGGCCCUGAACUCCUAAACCUCCUGUGUCCUGUACUGGGGUUAUACGCAUAUACCAUCAUACCUGGGUCUUUUAUGAUAUCCCUAGAGCACUGAAACCUUGUGUUUCAUGGGCCUGUCUCCCCUGUGAGGCUGUGAGCAUUCCUGUAUCUGCGAUUUCACAGGCAGUGUCCCAUAGAUUUACUAAUGCUGUUACUUCAGCCUCUAUAAUUCUACCCUUUUUAUGGUUCUUUAUUAAAGAGUUUUUUUUUAAACAUAUCUAGUGAUCAGUAUUUAUUAGAUUCCAAGUACUAGGUGAAUGAGACUGUGAAAAAUGUCUUGACCCAAAUCCAAACAAAAUGUGUCAAACUUGGUGGUCCUUGUUCUUAGGGUCAACUAAGGACCAAAGCAUGUGGUAAAGGGCUAUGAAAAUACCAAGAAAUGAAAUGAUGAUUCACACAAAAUGGAAAUGUCUGACCCACUACAAUGCUGGGCUUUUUGGAGAGCAGACUCUCUUCUGAGUAAGGAGGUGGCCUGGUACCUGGGUUCUCUGUGUAAGACCAAGGACAGCAAGGCCACUUUUAUUCUCAGGCACAUGAUCAGAGGAAGAUCACAACCCCCAGACUACAUGGUAUUGUUUAGGCACUCAUUAGGGGAGAUAUAAAAUAUUUCCCUAGUUACUUAUAAAUGAGAUACACAUAUUCUGGGGGUCAGGUGGGACAUACCAUGUCCCAAAAGCUCUGCCAGGUUUUGCCUGUGCUUGGCUGGUGAAGGAGUCUUGUGAAUAGUCACAAGACUUUGCAAAGGAGAGCGCAACAACUGAGAAGUGAGGAAGCAGGUGGGAUUUCCGAGGGAGCCAUGGGGAAAGAGCAGCUCCUUCCUUCCUCCCCUGACUCUGUUUCCCCGGGUUAGCUGGGAAAAGCAGUUAGACGGCCCCUCUCAUUUUCAGACUAGCUGCUCCAACUCAACUGUCAAAGGCCCCUCUUUACUUCUUCCCACAUAACCCAAAGGAUUUGUAGUCUAGGAAACCAAAGAAUUGUUUCAUCAAUAAAUCAAUUUAUUUAAAAGAAUAUGUUACAAUUAAUUACACUAAGUAACAUUACCAAACAAUCUUAGAGUGGUUAGCUCUAGAGCAGGGUUGGAGAAACACUGGAGCCAGUGGGUCUCUGCACUUUCUCUUCACAUUUUGUAAAUCACAAAUAAAAGUACAAGAUACUGCAGUGAAAAUACAAUUAGUUUCUCUCAAAUAAAUUAUAAGUGUGCAUGGCCUGGGAAAAACUGAAGCCCAGCUCAGCAGCUUACAAGGGGGCAUAAUAACAAGUUGGCACCCAUGGUCAGCAGCUAACCAAGUGCUCCUACCAGGAUCAGUCCCUCUGGUGUCGCUCCUCCCCAGAGCCCGAUUUCCAUGCACCCUCAGUUACUGCUGAGAAAGAAGCUGCUGCUAUCCAGGGAAAGGAGCCCUGGCAGAUAUGCUGAGGGUUAGAGGAAGAAGAAUCCAAGACGGAGGACUAAAGAAGCGUUCUCCCUCCCGCUGGCGCUAAGUAUUCAGCCACACUGCUGCUCCUCCAAAAAGAAGUUAAAGCAACCCAUCCAACUGGUGAAGGAGCAGCAGUGUGCUGAAGCCAGCAGAAUGGAAAGGAGGGCAGAAAGGACCUCCAUUCCUGGAGACUUCAGCUAAACGCAAAUGCAUGUAGGUCCCUUUAAGAAGACUGCUUUCUAGGAGCUGGCCCUUAAGCUGGAAACUCUGAGAUGAGAGAGGUGCUCCCUCUUAUCAGUGCCCUAUUUUGCUGCUUCAGGCAUCGGGUUUGGAGCAAUGAAGGGAUAAUUCAAAGCUACUGGCCCAGGUAACUAAAGGAUAAAAUUAAAUGGGCCAGGCAAGAGGAUGCUAGAGCAUUUACCUUGUUCCUCCCUGAGAGCUCUGUCAAGGCCUGGGAACUGCCCUGAACACUGACUGUAGCUGUGCUGAGCUGAGGCCUCCGCAAGGGCAAGGGGAAGGCGGAGAGACGAA